rnacentral:rRNA from 1 species
CACAAGCGGUGGAGCAUGUGGUUUAAUUCGAAGCAACACGAAGAACCUUACCAGGUCUUGACAUCCCCUGACAACCCGAGAGAUCGGGCGUUCCCCUUCGGGGGACAGGGUGACAGGUGGUGCAUGGUUGUCGUCAGCUCGUGUCGUGAGAUGUUGGGUUAAGUCCCGCAACGAGCGCAACCCUCGACCUUAGUUGCCAGCAUUCAGUUGGGCACUCUAAGGUGACUGCCGGCUAAAAGUCGGAGGAAGUGGGGAUGACGUCAAAUCAUCAUGCCCCUUAUGACCUGGGCUACACACGUGCUACAAUGGGCGGUACAAAGGGUCGCGAACCCGCGAGGGGGAGCCAAUCCCAAAAAGCCGCUCUCAGUUCGGAUUGCAGGCUGCAACUCGCCUGCAUGAAGCCGGAAUCGCUAGUAAUCGCGGAUCAGCAUGCCGCGGUCGAAUACGUUCCCGGGCCUU